rnacentral:rRNA from 1 species
UUGUAAUUUGUAGAAGGUGUCUCGAGAUUUUUUCAAUGGUCCAAGUCUUUUGGAACUGAGCGUCAUAGAGGGUGAGAAUCCCGUAUGUGGCCGAUUGUGAAUCUCGUGUGAGACCCUUUCGACGAGUCGAGUUGUUUGGGAAUGCAGCUCUAAAUGGGUGGUAAAUUUCAUCUAAAGCUAAAUAUCUGUCAGAGACCGAUAGCGCACAAGUAGAGUGAUCGAAAGAUGAAAAGAACUUUGAAAAGAGAGUUAAACAGUACGUGAAAUUGUUGAAAGGGAAGCGCUUGCAAUUAGACUCGAGAGCGGGAGCUCAGCCAAUUUCUUUUUUGGUGUAUUGUUCCGUUACCGGGCCAACAUCAAUUUCGGCGGCCGGAUAAAGGUUUUGGGAAUGUAGCUCUUUUCGGAGGAGUGUUAUAGCCCAUUUCAUAAUGCGGCCUGUCGGGAUUGAGGACAUUGCGCAAUUUAUUUUGCUAGGAUGUUGGCGUAAUAGUUGUCAGCGACCCGUCUUGAAACACGGACCAAGGAGUCGACCAAUCGCGCGAGUGUUUGGGUGUUAAACCCAAGCGCGCAGUGAAAGCAAACGUAGGUGGGAGCCUUUUUACCGGGGCACACCAUCGACCGAUCUUGAUGUCUUCGGAUGGAUUUGAGUAUGAGCACGGUCGGUCGGACCCGAAAGAUGGUGAACUAUGCGUGAAUAGGGUGAAGCCAGAGGAAACUCUGGUGGAGGCUCGCAGCGGUUCUGACGUGCAAAUCGAUCGUCAAAUUUGCGCAUAGGGGCGAAAGACUAAUCGAACCAUCUAGUAGCUGGUUCCCGUCGAAGUUUCCCUCAGGAUAGCAGCAACGAAAUUUGAAACAGUCUCAUGAGGUAGAGCGAACGAUUAGAGGCCUGGGGGCAAUAAUUGCCUUCACGUAUUCUCGAACUUCGAAUAUGUGAGAAGUCCUUGUUACUCAGUUGAA